GGCUGGUCCGAGUGCAGUGGUGUUUACAACUCAUUGAUCACAACCAGUUACAGAUUUCUUUGUUCCUUCUCCACUCCCACUGCUUCAUUUGACUAGUCUUAA
ensembl:misc_RNA Y_RNA Y RNA